UGGCUACUAAAAUAAAAGGUGUGCCCUUAUCUCAUAGGUUUAUAUAUGUACUCACACAGUUGUAAUCAAAAUUAUUUAACGCCAUUAAAAAUCAGGUUUAUUGUCAAAAUUUACAGACUUCUUUCAGCGGUUUGCAAUGAACAAAUCAAACAAAAGCAACUGAAAUAGCUCAACAAAUGCUUCAAGUGGUUUCUCACUUGAAGCAGUAUUGCUUUAGACCUGUGGAAGUGAGGAAAAC